rnacentral:rRNA from 1 species
CCUGAUCAUGAGUCUGAUUGAACGCAAUAUGGAUGCUUUACACAUGCAAGUCGAACGGCAGCACGGACUUUCGGUCUGGUGGCGAGUGGCGAACGGGUGAGUAAUGUAUCGGAACGUGCCGAAGAGAAGCGGAUAACUACAGAAAGCGUAGCUAUCACCGCACAUUACUUCGGGGAAAGCGGGGGGACCUUCGGGCCUCGCACUAUUAGAGCGGCUGAUAUCGGAUUAGCUAGUUGGCGGUAACGUGGUCAAUUGGUUGCGACGAUCCGUAGUUGGUUUGAGAGGACGAUGGAAGCCACAUUGGGACUGAGACACGGCCUGCACUCCUACGGAGGCAGCAGUGGGGAAUUUUGGACAAUGGGGGAAACCCCAUCCAGCCAUCCGCGUGUGCGAUGAAGGCCUUCGGGUUGUAAAGCAUCUCUGCGUGAAAGAAACGGCACGUGGAUACUUCACCCUGUGCAACUGACGGUACCUGCAGAAUAAGCACCGGUUAAUUCAUGUGCCAGCAGCCGCGGUAAUACGUAGGGUGCAAGCGUUAAUCGAAUUACUGGCGCAGCGCGCAGGCGGUUCGAAAGAAAGAUGUGAAAUCCUGAGCUUAACUUUGGAACUGCAUUUUUAACUACCGAGCGAUGUCGCGAGGAGGUGGACUCCGCGUGUAGCAGUGAAAUGCGUAGAUAUGCGGAGAACACGGAUGGCGAAGGCCUCCUGGGAUAACACUGACGCUCAUGCACGAAAGCGUGGGGAGCAAACAGGAUUAGAUACCCUGGUAGUCCACGCCCUAAACGAUGUCAACUAGCUGUUGGGGCCUUCGGGCCUUGGUAGCGCAGCUAACGCGUGGGUGAAGUUGACCGCCUAGAGUACGGUCAAGAUUAAAACUCAAAGGAAUUGACGGGGACCCGCACGAAGCGGUGGAUGAUGUGGAUUAAUCUGAUGUAACGAAAAACCUUACCUACCUGACAUGUCUGAAUCCCGAAGAGAUUUGGGAGCUGCAAGAGAACCGGAACAGGUGCUACAGCUUUUAUGUCAGCUCGUGUCGUGAGAUGUUGGGUUAAGUUCCGCAACGAGCGCAACCCUUGUCAUUAAAUGCAUACGAAAGGGCACUUCUAUCGAGACUGCCGGUGACAAAACCGGAGGAAGGUGGGGAUGACGUCAAGUCCCUAUGGCCCUUAUGGCAAGGGAAAUACACGUCAUACAAUGGUCGGGACAGAGCAGUCGCCAACCCGCGAGGAGCUAACCAGAAACCCGAUCGUAGUCCGGAUCGCAGUCUGCAACUCGGCUGCGUGAAGUCGGAAUCGCUACAAAGACCAUGGAUCAUGGCCAUGUCGCGGUGAAUACGUUCCUGGCCUGUACACACUGCCCGUCACACCAUGGGAGGUUUUACCCAGAAGUGCAGUUAGCCUGUAACCGUGUUGAGGAAGGAUUACGGUAGGAUUCAUGACUGGGGUGAAGUCGUAACAGCGGUAA